rnacentral:rRNA from 1 species
GGACGAACGCUGGCGGCGUGCUUAACACAUGCAAGUCGAACGAAGUGGAAGCUUGCUUCUAUUAGUGGCGAACGGGUGAGUAACGCGUAAUCAACCUGCCCUUCAGAGGGGGACAACAGUUGGAAACGACUGCUAAUACCGCAUUCGAUCUAAUCGGCAUCGAGAUAGAUGAAAGGUGGUAAUAUCACUGAAGGAGGGGAUUGCGUCUGAUUAGCUAGUUGGAGGGGUAACGGCCCACCAAGGCGAUGAUCAGUAGCCGGUCUGAGAGGAUGAACGGCCACAUUGGGACUGAGACACGGCCCAGACUCCUACGGGAGGCAGCAGUGGGGAAUCUUCCGCAAUGGACGAAAGUCUGACGGAGCAACGCCGCGUGAGUGAUGACGGCCUUCGGGUUGUAAAGCUCUGUUAAUCGGGACGAAAGGCCUUCUUGAAUUAGAAGGAUUGACGGUACCGGAAUAGAAAGCCACGGCUAACUACGUGCCAGCAGCCGCGGUAAUACGUAGUGGCAAGCGUUGUCCGGAAUUAUUGGGCGUAAAGCGCGCGCAGCGGAUAGGUCAGUCUGUCUUAAAAGUUCGGGGCUUAACCCCGUGAUGGGAUGGAAACUGCCAAUCUAGAGUAUCGGAGAGGAAAGUGGAAUUCCUAGUGUAGCGUGAAAUGCGUAGAUUUAGAAGAACACCAGUGGCGAAGCGACUUCUGGACGAAAACUGACGCUGAGGCGCGAAAGCCAGGGGAGCGAACGGGAUAGAUACCCCGGUAGUCCUGGCCGUAAACGAUGGGUACUAGGUGUAGGAGGUAUCGACCCUUCUGUGCCGGAGUUAACGCAAUAAGUACCCCGCUGGGGAGUACGACCGCAAGGUUGAAACUCAAAGGAAUUGACGGGGGCCCGCACAAGCGGUGGAGUAUGUGGUUUAAUUCGACGCAACGCGAAGAACCUUACCAGGUCUUGACAUUGAUGGACAGAACCAGAGAUGGUUCCUCUUCUUCGGAAGCCAGAAAACAGGUGGUGCACGGUUGUCGUCAGCUCGUGUCGUGAGAUGUUGGGUUAAGUCCCGCAACGAGCGCAACCCCUAUCUUAUGUUGCCAGCACGUAAAGGUGGGAACUCAUGAGAGACUGCCGCAGACAAUGCGGAGGAAGGCGGGGAUGACGUCAAAUCAUCAUGCCCCUUAUGACCUGGGCUACACACGUACUACAAUGGGAGUUAUAGACGGAAGCGAGAUCGCGAGAUGGAGCAAACCCGAGAAAACUCUCUCAGUUCGGAUCGUAGGCUGCAACUCGCCUACGUGAAGUCGGAAUCGCUAGUAAUCGCAGGUCAGCAUACUGCGGUGAAUACGUUCCCGGGCCUUGUACACACCGCC